rnacentral:pre_miRNA from 1 species
AGCCUUCUGUAUCCGUGCUGAGAUUUCGUCAGCGACCAACCCAUUGAGGCUGAUGCAAGUUCUCAAAUAAGUGAAGUG